GUAGGGCGCCGGCGGACGGCUAUUGUUGAUGUCAAUAGGAGAGAUAUUAUCUGCCUUACU
rnacentral:tRNA from 1 species